UGGUGGUGUCCUGUGGGCUGUGGCACAAUAACUGAAUCUCGAUGGACGGUGGUCAGAACGUGAGAGCUUGACCGGUUGACCCUGAGAUGAUCGUGAGGUGGAUGGGAGGAGGAGAGAUUGGGGGAAGUCGUGAGUUUUGGGGAAGGAGAUUGGGGGAAACAAGAUUGAAGGAAAUUAGAUGGGGGGAAACGAGAUUGGAGGAUGGGGGGAAAAUG
rnacentral:lncRNA from 1 species